rnacentral:rRNA from 1 species
AUGGCCAAAGUUUCAGAUCAAAUCUACCAUGUCUUGGAACUCUUGCAUGCACGACCGCGGCAGGCCAAGAAGCACCACGAUGCUGCCCUCACGCACGUCCCGCAUAAACAUGACCACCUCCCCGCGCGGCAGCUCCGCGGGGCCAGACUGUGCGGCCUCGCCUCACCCGAAAUCGGCCGCGUGGAACCCAAGACGGUUCCACGCCGUCACCAGCGUCGUCGCCGUCAUCGACGGCGCCCGGCCACCGGCCACUUGCACGUAGUCGAUGGCCGAACGGACGAACGCGUCGUCCGUGCGCCUGAUGGCGUCCUGGAUCCACCGGGCCGCAGCGGACACCGGCCCGCCGAGGAGGUCGCCGGCAGUGGACACGCAGCAGGCGAAGACGACGCGUUCCCGCAGAAACCGCGAGGCAGCGGCGGGUCGACGCGCCGCCUGCCGUCGACGGCGAACAUGAGCUUGCUCUUCUGCUCGGGGCGCAUCCUCAUGGCGCGCAACGUCGCGCGCCAGACGAACGCCGUCAGCGCCACGAAGGUGGAGCUCGCGCACGCCUGCCGCUUCAGCCGCGCGAGCCCGUCGGCGUCGAUGGCGAAGGCCCGGUGCACCCGCGGUUCCUCGCGGAGGCAGGCGAGGCUGGACACGUCCUCCAUCUCUGCGAACUCCUCGUGCGGGAAGGCGACCGUGGGGCUCGUCCUGGCGCGCAGCACGGUGCGGUCGAGGAAGGGCGGGGAGGAGAGGGGCCCGCCGCGGGCCAUCUCGCCCCAGGAGCGGAGGAACUCCGCCGCGGCGACGCCGUCCGCCAGGCAAUGGUUCAUGGCGAGCCCGAGCACGAAGCCGCCACACCUGAACCUGGUGACCUGCACGCUCAGUAGAGGCGCCCUCAGCUCGUCAUCUUCCUUGUCCUCGGAGUUGCUGCUGCUGCGGCCGACGAACACGAGCUGCCCCUGA